rnacentral:rRNA from 1 species
UACAGAGGUCUCAAGCGUUGUUCGGAUUCAUUGGGCGUAAAGGGUGUGUAGGUGGCGCCGUAAGUCGGGGUGUGAAAUUUCGGAGCUUAACUCCGAAACUGCAUUCGAUACUGCCGUGCUUGAGGACUGGAGAGGAGACUGGAAUUUACGGUGUAGCGGUGAAAUGCGUAGAUAUCGUAAGGAAGACCAGUGGCGAAAGGCGGGUCUCUGGACAGUUCCUGACGCUGAGGCACGAAGGCCAGGGGAGCAAACGGG